AGCAGGAACGGGAGCGUGCUGCGGAGAAGGAAAAUUCCAGGGGAAUUGCCACGAGAGGAAAUACUUCAGAGGGGCUUCCCUCCAGCUAAGCCCUGAAUAUGCCAGGAGGUUUCAGCUGGGAGGAAAGGAGCUGUGGAAGAAAAGCAGCCUAAAAAUAGCCAGCGGGGAUCAUCAGGUUUUCCAGCCAAGAAGAACAAGGAGAGAGAUGAGGGAAUCGGGUUCCAAUUCCUAAUGAUUUGGUGGGUGCAGGAAUGAUUUCUGUGUGUUUUCCAGUCCCUUUUGAUUCCUGAGAUGAUUUUAAAAUGAUGGCUUUAGCAAUCAACUAAAUCGGAGAUGUUGUUUUUGAGAGGAAAUGAUGCCAAAUAAAUGCAGAGUUUUGGGUCAGUUUUUGG